rnacentral:rRNA from 1 species
AUUGAACGCUGGCGGCAGGCCUAACACAUGCAAGUCGAACGAGUGGCGGACGGGUGAGUAAUGGCUGGGAAACUGCCUGAUGGAGGGGGAUAACUACUGGAAACGGUAGCUAAUACCGCAUACCAUCGGAUGUGCCCAGAUGGGAUUAGCGAGUAGGUGGGGUAAAGGCUCACCUAGGCGACGAGCCCUAGCUGGUCUGAGAGGAUGACCAGCCACACUGGAACUGAGACACGGUCCAGACUCCUACGGGAGGCAGCAGUGGGGAAUAUUGCACAAUGUGCGCAAGCCUGAUGCAGCCAUGCCGCUUGUAUGAAGAAGGCCUUUCGGGUGUUAAGUACUUUCAGCCGGGUGCCGUUGCCCACAGAAGAAGCACCGGCUAACUCCGUGCCAGCCUCCGCGGUAAUAC